GGCACUGCAUCCUUUGAAGUCACCGAGUGCUGGGUGACCUCCUGUGACACGAUCCCUGCUGGCCGCUGUUCAUGGAAGAUUUUCAGGCAGCCACAGAGAUUAGAGCCGCGCUUGUCUAAAGGCUUUUCUGUCACUUUAUUUAGGUUAAGAAUCCUAAGUAGAUUUACAGCACCUCUGAGCUCACACUGCCCAAGGGAUAAAUCACAGGCGGAUUUACAGGUCUACACAGUGAGGCUGCAUUGAACAGGACCUGGGCUACCAUGCGGGAGAAGAGAGUCACGUGUGAACAGAGCCUUUGGAGACCAACAGAGGCUGCUUACAGAGCACCAGCAGGAUCUUGCUAUGCAGCCCAGGCUGGCCUUGAACUCAAGGUGACCCUCCUGCUUCAGCCUCCUGAGUGCUGGAAUUUCAGCUUCCUCCUCAGCUCCUAGAAGACUCCUAGGCCAUGUACCGUGAAGACAGCCGUCCAGUCGUCUGCCCUCACUCGGCCUGGCUCUGCGUGCUCUAGACUGGGGUGCAGCUGGGUCUGUGUGAGACUCUUGCCCUGAUCGGGCAGAAGGGCAGAUGGAGCAAGCAGGCGGGGGUCGCUUCUGAGCCAGAAGCCCCUUCUGGAAGGUUUGGGGAGGCAGAAAUAGAAUCCACAGGAAGACAGGGCGGAGUGGGGGGAGCGCUGGGAUUUCUGGGCGAGUGAGAAGCUGGAACAGAUGGGCUGCUGGCGGCUCUGCAGAAAGCCACGGCAGGCAGCGUAGCCAAGGGCGAACCUGUUCCCACAGCAGCUGGGCCAACAGCCCUACCUGGGGGAUCUGUGCGCAUGGCAGCUGCCCGAAGCCUGCACCCUCAGCUGUCCCCACACCCCGGGGGAGCCCAGGGAGGUGGCUGCCCCUCCAGAGCCCAUGCGCAGCCUCUCCCCCAUCCCGGGGUUCAAUCUCCAGCCCAGGCCAGGCUUCCGGACCACACAUCCCUCGCUGCUGUCUCUGACCUCGCUGCUGUAGGAGGCCCCUGGAAGGUUGUGUGUCUGGGGUUUCAUCUCUGCUGCCCAACAGACGUACAAAGGCGGGUCUGGUUUAUUUCUGUGUUCUCUGCACGCAACACUGGCUGAGGCCAGCAGCACCCUUCUGAGCCAGCCCCAAGGCUGUGGAGAAAGCUCAGCUGCCCCUUGGAGCCCAUCAAUAGCAGCAGCGACCCUUUCGUUCCCCCUUCCUCCCUCUUUCCUUUCUUUUUGAAUCUGUAGCUCUUAGCCGGGCGUGGCAGCAUAUAUCUGUAAUCCAGCACUCAGGAGGCUGAGGUAAGAGGAUCAUUGUGAGUUUGAGGCUACCCUGGGCAACACAGUGAGUGCAACCAGCCUGAAAUACAAAGUAAGACCCUGUCUCAAAAAAAAAAAAAAUCAGAAACUGUAGCUGUUAUUUUGACUUCUGUCUUAGUUGUGACUAUCUCAGAAGUAUCAUUUUAAAAACUGUACCAUCACACACACACACACACACACACACACACACACACACACACACACACCUGUCGCCUAGUUCCCCACCCACCCUCAGGCUCAGUGUAUUUUCUGGUUUGUUUCAUCUCCCCCGUCUCUCCCCCUCAUGGUUCUUCUUUGCCCUCCUUCUACAUCUCUUCCUCUUGCCUAGUAAUAGUCUGCCUUCUACUUUUCGUUUUUGAGAGGAGGUCUCCCUGUGUAGUUCAGGCUGGCCUUGAACUCUUUAUGCAGCCCAGGCUAACCUUGAACUCGAGGCCCUCCUCCUGUUCCUAAGUUCUGGGAUCACAGGUUCCCUUCCACUUUCCUGCAUCUCCUUUAGAUUCCACAUGUUAGGGACAGCAUGUAACAUUCAUCUUUCUGAGUGUGGCUUAUUUAGUUCAACAUGCAGGUCUCCAAACGCACUCAUUUUCUUGCAAAUGACAGACCUGGCUGUUCCUCACGGAUGAGGAAUACCCUGUUCCAUGCACACUGCCCAUCGACGUGCCUCCAGGUCGCUCCCAUAGCUUGGUGACAGUCAGUGCUGGCCCCCAAGGCACCUGCGCACACCUCGAGGUGCAAAUGCACACCAUCGCCCUGUACCUGAACCCUGGAAGCAGGGCAGCCCCCAUGGGUGCCGCUGGAUGCGGUUGCCCUGUGUACCUAGGUGGGGUAUGGUGCAGAGUGGACAGGCGAGGAGGACUGGGAGCUGCCAGAGGGCGACCAGGUUGGCUGCUGAGGUUGAAAAACUGCUGCCUGUGGGAAGACUGGAUCUGGGACAGAAUGCUUGGCUGCAAACACCAUGUGUAGCCUCUGCCCAGGGCCUGGGACAGGCAACCCUGUUGAACGGUGCAAGGACAAUGAUGUCACGAUGUCACCUAAGCCUGAAUGGGCAGGACCUGGCCAGAAGUGCCACAGCGGUGAGUGGUCAAGGCUCAGGGGCCCACAGGAGUCGCAGCAGCUCUGCUGGCUGCAGUUGCCACCCUGGGUCCCUGCAAGCCACCUCUCACUUGCCACCUCUCAGGCUGCUUUUACCCCAGAUGGGUGAGGGCAGAAAAGGCCACGGGGUCCCACUGCUUCAGAGCCACUCAGCAGGAAAGCCCAAGAGGUGAGCAUGGUUUCCACUGUGGAUUUGGUCACAAACCCCUUGCACUGGCCCCCAGCCUCUUCCCAGUGACCCAGGGCCUCCAACUGUCUCUCCUGCUCCUGGCUGUAGGCACAGCCUGGCUGGACACGGGGGUGCAGUAUGCUGGCAGCUGGGUGUCAGAUGGGCCAGGGCGGCAGAUGGGCCUAGAGCAUGGCCAAGAAGCUCUUCCAAACUCAAGCGACGGGUCUACACGCUUCCAAAUGUCACUGAUCUGCGAGACAGACCCGGGUGGCUCCAGGUGGGACAGAGGCCACCAGCCACGAAUGCUCUGGAUUCUCCCAGGCAAGGCCUGAAUCAAUCUGCAAAGCAGGGAGCCGGCGGCAGUGUGACCACGCCAGUUCCUUGCCUGUGACCUUGGCACUCCAGUUAGAUAAGUGGAGGUCUCCAUCUUGGGAAAGAGAUGCAGACUAGCGAAGCGUGAAGGGGCAUCACUCCCACAGCUCACUCUCAAACAAGCCAGAAAGAAAUACAAAUAUAGACAGAGAUGGAGACAAACAGAGUCACAGGGAGUCGAGAGUGACAGAGAGAGAAAACAGAGAUGGAGAAAGACGGGAGAUAAAGACACAAAGACAGAGACCAAGAGACAGGUGAUAACAUGUGAGAGGUUAUCAUCAGGGGAAUUUGUGGGAAGAGCCAUUACUCUUGUGACUGUCCUUUAAAUUUAAAGAAGUAUCAGGGGUUUUGGGGGGGAGUAAUUGUAUUUUUAUGGUGGUAAAUACAUAAAAUUUACCUAUUUAUUUA